rnacentral:piRNA from 1 species
UAUGCAGGGCAGGGGAGUUCGACCCCAAG